rnacentral:rRNA from 1 species
UACGUAGGGUGCGAGCGUUGUCCGGAAUUACUGGGCGUAAAGAGCGCGCAGGCGGCCAAAUCAGUCGAAUGUGAAAGCCCCCGGCUUAACUGGGGAGGGUCAUUCGAUACUGCUCGGCUCGAAGACAGGAGAGGGAAGUGGAAUUCCCGGUGUAGUGGUGAAAUGCGUAGAUAUCGGGAGGAACACCAGUGGCGAAGGCGACUUUCUGGCCUGUUCUUGACGCUGAGGCGCGAAAGCUAGGGGAGCAAACGGGG